UACGGAGGGUGCAAGCGUUGCUCGGAAUCACUGGGCGUAAAGAGCACGUAGGUGGGUUUGUAAGUCGAUUGUGAAAGCCCCAGGCUCAACCUGGGAAUAGCAGUCGAUACUGCUGAUCUUGAGUUCUCGAGAGGAUGGCGGAAUUCCUGGUGUAGUAGUGAAAUACGUAGAUAUCAGGAGGAACACCGGAGGCGAAGGCGGCUAUCUGGCGAGACACUGACACUGAGGUGCGAAAGCGUGGGGAUCAAACAG
rnacentral:rRNA from 1 species